rnacentral:misc_RNA from 1 species
UCCGGUUUGGCACCGGCAGUCCUCCUAGAGUCCCCGACUUUACGCUGGUAACUAAGAGUGAGGGUUGCGCUCGUUGCGGGACUUAACCCAACAUCUCACGACACGAGCUGACGACAGCCAUGCAGCAUCUGUGCUGGAACUCCGAAGAGGGGCUCACGUUUCUGCAAGCUUUCUCCAGCAUGUCAAGCCCAGGUAAGGUUCUUCGCGUUGCGUCGAAUUAAACCACAUGCUCCACCGCUUGUGCGGGCCCCCGUCAAUUCCUUUGAGUUUCAACCUUGCGGUCGUACUCCCCAGGCGGGGUACUUCCUGCGUUAGCGCCGGCACCCAGAGGGUCGCUCCCCCAGGCACCUAGUACCCAUCGUUUACGGCGUGGACUAC